AUUGAACGCUGGCGGCAGGCCUAACACAUGCAAGUCGAACGAGUGGCGGACGGGUGAGUAAUGUCUGGGAAACUGCCUGAUGGAGGGGGAUCACUACUGGAAACGGUAGCUACUACCGCAUACCAUCAGAUGUGCCCAGAUGGGAUUAGCUUGUUGGUGGGGUAACGGCUCACCAAGGCGACGAUCCCUAGCUGGGCUGAGAGGAUGACCAGCCACACUGGAACUGAGACACGGUCCAGACUCCUACGGGAGGCAGCAGUGGGGAAUAUUGCACAAUGGGCGAAAGCCUGAGGCAGCCAUGCCGCGUGUAUGAAGAAGGCCUGCGGGUUGUAAAGGACUUUCAGCGGGGAGGCGUUACCCGCAGAAGAAGCACCGGCUAACUCCGUGCCAGCAGCCGCGGUAAUAC
rnacentral:rRNA from 1 species